GUUUUAGCUAAUAAACACAAGCAAGAAGAUAUUGCUUUAUUAUCGCCCUUCAUCCCGGAACCUCGACGACGAGAAAUGGAAUAUUACCUCCAAUACUAAAACACCAUCUUUCCCUCUACCUACAGCUGAUUUCAGAAGGAAUCCUCAUGGCCAGUACCUUGGGAGAGGAGAAAUUUAUGAUUGGAAACGUACAUUGUUUAUGUCUGAUAAUUUUUCUGUAGAGCUGAGCAGGACCUUGUCCUCUUGUGGGUUGGAAGGGAUUUUUAAUCUCUGUUCCCUGGUAUCCCUUAUUUAAUUCAGGAAAGUAUAAUCUUAAUAUGUCAACAGAUGUCCAACAAGAGUUGCAAAAUAAAAUAGGUAAAUCUACUUUACGGCGAGGGCGCUUAGGAGGAGUAUUGUCAUUCCUUUUUGCAGUCGAACC